UCAACACAAAACUUUCAUCAUUCAGUGAGAUAAAGAAGACAAAGACUGUAAACAGCUCUACUGUAGUGUUUGUCUGUUACUUUCAUGUAAAAUCUGAGAAAGAUGUAAAUGUUUCAGUCAUUUGAUUGAGAUUUCUUCAGUUUGUAAAUGUAAGUGACAGUGAAAGAGGAAACAGAUUUGAAUUUGUGUGAUUGUGAUGAGAUGAGAGCAGAAGAUCAGACUGUCAGUCAGUCAGGACAUCACAGCUCCUUCACUUCUCAAUCAUUCACUGGAAACAUGACAACACAAACUCUCAUCUGUUCUCUGAUCAUUUCACUUACAGGUUGUUUUGGUGAGAUUAUUCUCACUCAGAGUCCUAAAGUUCAGAUGGUGUCAGGAGGAGAAAGCGUCUCUCUCAUCUGUAAAUCCAGCAGUUCUGCUUUUCAAUCCAGUUUAGCUUGGUAUCAUCAGACACCCGGAAAAACACACAAACUUCUUUUCUCUAGUGUUGGUAGCCGAGUGUCUGGUGUGUCUGAGAGAUUUACUGAUGAGAGAUCAGGCACAAACUUCAAACUGAAUAUUAGAGAUGUUCAGCCUGAAGAUGCAGGAGAUUAUUACUGUCAACAGUAUUAUGAUUCAUUCACACAGUGA